UUGGCUUGGCUCAGUGCUGCUCAGGAUGUUCUGCUGCCUAGGUAGGUGCGUUCAGUGUUGCUUAGUCUGGCAUGGCUCAGCUCAGCUCAGCUAGGGUCAUGAUGGCACCCAAAUAGAUUCAGUUCAGCACAGCUUGGGGCAUUUUGCCAGCUCAGUAGACAUGGCUCAUCUCGGUCAGCGCAGCUCAGCUCAGCUCAGCCCUGCUCAGGACAUUUUGCCACCUAAGUAGGCACAACUCAGCUUGGUCCAGCUUGGCACAGCUCAGCUCAGAACAGCGCAGGACACCGUGCCACCUCAAUUUGCACAGCUCAGCUCAGCACAGACCAGGAGAUGAUGAUGUGCCAGAUAGUCACAGUUUGGCUUGACUUGGCUUGGCUUGGCCCAGCUGAGCACAAGACAUUGUGCCACCUCAGUAGGCACAAUUCACCUCAGCUUGGCAUAGCUCAGUCUUGCUUGGGACACGAUACCACUCAUUUAAGCUGAGUUUGGCUUGGCCCAGCUCAGCUCAGCUGAGCCCUGCCCUGCCCUGUACAUUGUGGUACCUCAGUAGGCAUGGUUCAGCUUGGCACAGCUCGGUUCGACUCAGCUCAGAACAUUCUGCCACCUAGAUAGGUGCAAUUCAUCUCAGCUCAGCUUGGUUCAGCACAGCUCAGGACAGUCAGGACACUCAGGUAGACUCAGCUCAGUUUGGCCUGGCUUAGCACAGCUUGGGAUGUCAUACCACGUACAGGACAGCUGAGCUCAUCUUGGCACAACUCAGGACAAGGCACCACCUAGGCAGGCACAGCUUAGCUUGACAUAGCUUAGCUUGGCUUGGCUCAGCACGUCUUGAGACAUCAUGCUGCCUAAAGAGGCACAGCUUAACUCAGCAGAGCUUGACAUGGCUCAGCAUGACUCAGCUCAGCAUGGCUUAGGACAUCAUGGUACCUAGGCAGGCACAGUUCAGCUUGAUGUGGCUCAGAUCUGCUCAACGCAGCUCAGCUCAAUUCAUCUCAGCCCAGCAUGGUUCAACUCGGUUCAGUAUGGCUUGGUUAUACAGCACCGACAGCACAGCUCAGCUCAGCUUGGUUUGGCACAGCUCAGCACGUCAUGCCACCUAGGUAAGCACAGUUCAGCUCAGCUUGGUUCAACUUAGCUCAGCUUGGCUUGGUUUGGCCUGGCACAGUUUGGCUCAGGCAGAGCUUCCUGGCAGGAAGUGCCAUGGCAUCCAGGGAGGCUUGGCAGGAGGGAGGCUGCCUGAGCCAGAAGCAGUGCCACCAGCACCCACACCCCGUGGGACAGGGGAGCACAGGGCAUGGCCACCAUCAGGGCCAGCCCUCAAUCGGGUCCCCCUGCACAGGGCAGCGCCCUCAGGCCCUGCUGGGGAGCACCAGAGGAGCAGUGGCUGCCCAGCUCCUGCUUGCCUUGGCCAGCCAUGCUCAUUUCCUCAGUGCCCAGAGCAGGCAGCCCCAAGUCAAGCACCCAGAGGCCAGGAAAGCCAGACCGUACCUUGAGGCACUUCUGGGACACUUGCAGCUCUCAGUGUGGCAUCUUGCUGCUUUCAGGGCCGCUCAGGAAGAUCUCAGACACCACAAACUGGGGCAGGCUGGCAUGUCCAGCCUCAUGGGAGAGGAACAACCCUGGGCAGAAAUAGCCAGGAGGAAAAAGCUGCCCUGCCCCGUGGAGUUUUUCUUCAUUCCUUGAAGGCCACAGGGACCUGCUGUGCGGGAUUCAGGGCUGGAGGCAACGCCAGGGCAGCGCCAAGGUGGAGCUGUCGUGAUGGAUGAUGUGACAUCAUUCCCAAAUGCCUCUUCCACAGGCAAAGGUCUCAAAGUGAUCCCCUCUCCCCUGGAAGGCCAGCAAGCUCAGUGUCGGGCACAGCGAGCUGAAUUUCCCUCUCCUGCUGCUCCAUCUCUCCGCUCUAGCUCUGAGCAGAGCUCCCCCCAGCCAGCGGGGGCUCCUGCCUCCCUUCCCUGCACUCCUGUGGUGCUGCAAGACCGAGAUGCUCAGCUAUUGUCGAACUGUGCUGGGUCCCACGUCCCUGAGGAAGAAAACAAGCCGGUCCCCAUCCUGAGAAGGAUGCUCCGAGAGCAUCACCUCCACAGGAGACAGGCAGGGAGGAUGCCGUGUCUCCCGUGUCUCCUCCACUUCCCAGCCCGAGCCAGACUUGAGGACACACAAACAAGACACGGUGCCUCGCUUCACAUUCGGCCUCCUGCCUUCCUCCCAGCUGAAGGAAAUUGCUCAGCGUGCAUUUCCGUACUGCUCUCCGCUGACAAAGCUGCCGCCGGAGCGGUGAGAUGAGGGGCUGGCUGCCCUCCGCCCCCACCAUCACCGCCCCACGCUCCAGGUGCCGCAGCGAGAACCAGCACUGGAAGGGUCCCAGGCGGAGCCGGUGCGCUCCGCUCCCGGUUCCCGGCGUGGAAGUGCGAGGCCGGCGGGGAACACGCUGCCUCAGCCCCGACCACAUGGGCAUGGACGCCUGCCCUCAUCCUGCUUCCCCCUGCCAGGGUUCCUGCAUGCUCUGAGCAGCACAUCCUCUUCCUCCCGCCGACUCAUUGGGGCCGGCCGAGGCUGGCAU